rnacentral:rRNA from 1 species
GUAGCAUAAUCAUUAGUCUCCUAAUUAGAGGCUUGUAUGAAUGGUCGGACAAGAUGGAAACUGUCUCAGUACAAAAUAUAAAAUUUAAUAUUUAAGUAAAAAAGCUUAAAUAAAAUGAAGUGACGAUAAGACCCUAUAAAGCUUUAUAGUAGUUCCUUUCUAUUUAGAUUAUAAAAUUUCAACUUUUUUAAAGGCUAUUACUAUUUUACUGGGGCGGUAAAAGUAUAUUAUGAUUAACUGCUUUUGUCUUGACAAACAAUAGUAAUUGGAUAAUUAUGUGAUCCAUUAUUAAUGAUCAAAAGUACAAGUUACUUUAGGGAUAACAGCGUAAUUUUUCUUGAGAGUCCUCAUCGAAAGAAAAGUUUGCGACCUCGAUGUUGAAUUAAGGAAGCCUUAAGGUGCAGCA